GAGUUUGAUCUUGGCUCAGAUUGAACGCUGGCGGCAUGCCUUACACAUGCAAGUCGAACGGCAGCAUGAUCUAGCUUGCUAGAUUGAUGGCGAGUGGCGAACGGGUGAGUAAUACAUCGGAACGUGCCCUGUAGUGGGGAUAACUAGUCGAAAGAUUAGCUAAUACCGCAUACGACCUGAGGGUGAAAGUGGGGGACCGCAAGGCCUCAUGCUAUAGGAGCGGCCGAUGUCUGAUUAGCUAGUUGGUGGGUAAAGGCCCACCAAGGCGACGAUCAGUAGCUGGUCUGAGAGGACGAUCAGCCACACUGGGACUGAGACACGGCCCAGACUCCUACGGGGGGCAGCAGUGGGGAAUUUUGGACAAUGGGCGAAAGCCUGAUCCAGCAAUGCCGCGUGUGUGAAGAAGGCCUUCGGUUGUAAGUACGACUUUGUUCCGUAAGAAACGUAGGACGUCUGGUUA
rnacentral:rRNA from 1 species